rnacentral:tRNA from 1 species
GGAAAAGUCUUCCAUUGGUAGGGUAAGACACUUGCUACGUGUUGUGUUUUAUACACUUAGGUGUUCAAUUCACCUCUUUUCCG